rnacentral:rRNA from 1 species
CCUACGGGAGGCAGCAGUAGGGAAUCUUCCGCAAUGGACGAAAGUCUGACGGAGCAACGCCGCGUGAGUGAUGAAGGCUUUCGGGUCGUAAAACUCUGUUGUUAGGGAAGAACAAGGUACGAGGAGUAAGCUGCUCGUACCUUUGACGGUACCUAAUCCAGAAAGCCACGGCUAACUACGUGCCAGCAGCCGCGGUAAUACGUAGGUGGUCAAGCGUUAUCCGGUAAUUAUUGGUGCGUAAAGCGCGCGCAGGCGGUUUCUUAAGUCUGAUGUGAAAGCCCACGGCUCAACCCGUGGAGGGUCAUUGGAAACUGGGGAACUUGAGUGCAGAAGAGAAAAGCGGAAUUCCACGUGUAGCGGUGAAAUGCGUAGAGAUGUGGAGGAACACCAGUGGCGAAGGCGGCUUUUUGGUCUGUAACUGACGCUGAGGCGCGAAAGCGUGGGGAGCAAACAGGAUUAGAUACCCUGGUAGUCCACGCCGUAAACGAUGAGUGCUAAGUGUUAGAGGGUUUCCGCCCUUUAGUGCUGCAGCUAACGGCAUUAAGCACUCCGCCUGGGGAGUACGGUCGCAAGUACUGAAACUCAAAGGAAUUGACGGGGGCCCGCACAAGUCGGUGGGAGCAUGGUGGUUUAAUUUGAAGCAACGCGAAGAACCUUAC